UUUGGCUCUGUCUAGUGGAGUUUACUAGCAAAUGCCAAUGCACGCUGAAAUGAAACAGACAAAGGAAUCUGGUUGCUAAGUAUUUGUACUGAGUGACGGAUAUCAGCUGAUUGUACACCCAGCUACUGGGGACAGCAAGUUUCAGAUGUUUAAAUGUCAUCGAAUUUGUAGGAACUGCACACCAGGUCUUUCAUUUAAGUCUUUCUAAUUGUGGGGAAAUACAGUAUUGUUUUAUGGCUGGUACUGAUGGUUUGAAAGCUCCGUACAGCAUUAGUGAGCAGUGAUCACCAUCCUUCCUGAUUCUCAAUGUUGCUCUUAGCAGUAACUACCAUGGCACUAAAAGGAUUAGCACCAGCCAGAGCUCAGGGCUCCAGGCCCUGCUGGUAUUAAACUUUUCAAUGGCAUCGUGCCAGCAUCAGCAACCAAAACCAGGAUGGAUGCCAAUCAAGACUGACUGCAAUGCCAACCAACCAAAGACAAAUCCACUGGAUGCCUCAAACAAACAGUCUUUUUCUGGCUAAGAGAUCUGAAAUUGUCAGUCUCCAGCAGGCUGCUAUUGACAGCCAUGGGACAGAAAUAUUUCCUCUUGAGAAAUAGCCUUUAAAUCAUUUCUUAACAUGCUUUCUGGGAAGAUGCAUUUUAAAAAUAAAAUUCCUGCCCCCACCAUCAUUUUCUUUUUAAAGUAGAUAGGGCAUUUUCUGCAUGUUUUAUAUCACUUAUUCUUUAACUACAAGAGCAAAUGAUUAAGCUUUCAUCACACAUUCAAUCUUUUCUUGCUAACUACAAAUGGGAAUUUCUCUUCUUCCCUCUGAAAAUUCCUCUCAAUUUCUGCUCUCUGUUCCUAUGAUGAGAUGGGGGUCUCAUGGUUCAGCACAGAUAUCAAGUUGGCAGUUCUUCACGUCAGGCUAGAAAUGAGCACUGGAAUCAGUUUAUCUGACUGCUAAAGAUCUAGCCCCAUCUGAUCACUACUCAUACAAUAUGCUACACUGUUCUCUGGCUAGCACUGAAGAACAAGCCUUUCUUUCUUAGCUCAGAUCCUUCACUUGCAGUCUCUUUUCACAUCCCCACUUAUGACGCAACUAACUCAGAAUAGACUUGGAUCAAAAGUGAAACAUUCGUGAUAUGCAUAAUUCAGUGCCAGAACACGCACUGCAUUUAUCCACUGAAUGAUAGAGCUGGCCCUUUAAGAUUCCACUGGUAAUUAGGUAAUGGGUGUGAUGCAAUGUGCAAAUACACACUUCUUGCAAUUGACACUUGUGAGUGAUUUAGAAUUUGACAAUCCUGUCACAAUACUGAUUUCAAUACAGAAAUAAAUUGUGCUUCUUUAUUAAGUAACAUUGUAAAUGAUGUGCAAUUUACAUAAAUUUUGCUUUAGUGCACAAGGCACUGUGUUGUUUGCUCUAUCAUGGCAGAUUAUUAAAAGAGACGCAGAACCAUGGCAAAGGAUUGGUAUAACAUAAAAGGCCAGGAACGCCUGGAUUUAAAAUCGUAAUAUUCAAUCAGACUGGGAAUAUUUAUUGAGAGAAAACAGAGCUAACGUUUCAAGUCCAGUGAUCCUACUUGAGAAGAUCUUUCUGAAGAAGGUUCACUGGACUUGAAACAUUAGACACUGUUUUCACCCGACUGAUGCUGCUAACUUUCUCCAGCAAUUUCUAUUUUUAUGUUUCAGAUCUUUAGCAUCCAUUGUUCUUUGUUUAGUUUAUAAUGUUAAUAUUUAUUUUUAGUUUGUGAAUAGAGUAUGGUGACCGUUAUACUUUUAACCAUUAUUAUUCUUACUUGACGAGCACAGAUUAAGUUAGAGAAUCUAAAGCAAAACUGAACAUACAUUGAUUAGUUAUAUUGAGUUACCUUCCUGAAUACAAAACAUUUUUGUAUCAAAUUUGAUAUUGCAUUUGUAUUUCUAAAUAUGCUGCAAUAAAUCUUUCAAUGGUGUGCGAAUGCAAAAAAAAACAGUUUCUAAUUUGAUACCCAUUAUACAUGCUGUCUAAUAAUUAUUUCCAUUGGUUCAAUAGGACUGAAUAUCAUGGGGCUUAUUGCAGGAAGCCAAUGCAAUGACAUUCAUUUUGUACCAAGAUGCAAGAUGAAUUUCUGCCAUACUACCUUUUAAUUUAAAACAAAAAUGAUGUGUUGUAAAAUAAUGACAUUAAAAAUUUCUACUGUAGAUAAGAAACUGUGCUUUGAAUAUUUAUCAUGCAAUACAAAU